UACGUAGGGUGCAAGCGUUGUCCGGAAUUAUUGGGCGUAAAGAGCUCGUAGGCGGUGUGUCACGUCGGCCGUGAAAACCUGCAGCUUAACUGUGGGCGUGCGGUCGAUACGGGCAUCACUGGAGUUCGGCAGGGGAGGACUGGAAUUCCUGGUGUAGCGGUGAAAUGCGCAGAUAUCAGGAGGAACACCGGUGGCGAAGGCGGGUCUCUGGGCCGAUACUGACGCUGAGGAGCGAAAGCGUGGGGAGCAAACAGG
rnacentral:rRNA from 1 species